CUAUGACCCUGAGAUUAAGAGUCUCAUGCUCUACAGACUGAACUAGCCAAGACUGUGGCAGCCAAACAUUCAUAGUGACAUAACUUUUUGAUCCUUAAAUGUUGGCUCUUCUUAUGAUUGUGAGGCUGAAUUUACCAGGCAGUGGAUUGUUCAUCCACUAAUAAGAAUGUGAGCUGAGUUUAGAUUGUCAUGAGACAGAUUAGUUUUUCCCUACUGAUGAUGAUGUAUUGUUGCCAUCAUAAUACUGCUCAGUACAAGAGGAACCACAGGCUCAGACAUUUGGUGUAUGUGCUUGGCUGAGGAGCCAAUAGUGUGAAGCUACCAUCUGUGGGAUUAUGACUGAAUGCCUGUAAGUCAGAAUUCUGGCAGAACAAUAUGGCAGUGCCAAAGGAGCCUCGGUUGGCCCCAGAUAGCCAGAUCCCCUUCCAGCUCCAUUGGCAGUCUGUCCUGUUCUCGCACAUGGCGGGUCCCCACAGUGUGUUGGGACCAGAGUCUGGUAUGGACAGCCAUUCAUACAGAGAAACAGGGUAUGGCUGAAAAGGGUGCUGCCCUCUCACCCAUCACAUUGAACACACAUUUGUGUGGAACCUGGUGCUAAACCAUCCAUAGAUGACCUAUUUCAAUGGUUAUAAGUUGUAAUAGGGUUGUUGGUGGAACAAUGAAGUCUAGACUCAGGAUCCUCUUUU
rnacentral:ncRNA from 1 species